rnacentral:rRNA from 1 species
AGUGAACGCUGGCGGUAGGCCUAACACAUGCAAGUCGAACGGCAGCACAGGAGAGCUUGCUCUCUGGGUGGCGAGUGGCGGACGGGUGAGGAAUAUAUCGGAAUCUGCCCAGUCGUGGGGGAUAACGUAGGGAAACUUACGCUAAUACCGCAUACGACCUUCGGGUGAAAGAGGGGGAUCGCAAGACCUCUCGCGAUUGGAUGAGCCGAUGUCGGAUUAGCUAGUUGGCGGGGUAAUGGCCCACCAAGGCGACGAUCCGUAGCUGGUCUGAGAGGAUGAUCAGCCACACUGGAACUGAGACACGGUCCAGACUCCUACGGGAGGCAGCAGUGGGGAAUAUUGGACAAUGGGCGCAAGCCUGAUCCAGCCAUACCGCGUGGGUGAAGAAGGCCUUCGGGUUGUAAAGCCCUUUUGUUGGGAAAGAAAUCUUUCAGGCUAAUACCCUGGGAGGAUGACGGUACCCAAAGAAUAAGCACCGGCUAACUUCGUG